AAAAGUCAGGAGUGGCUGAGCAUGCCCGAAUCCCUAGAACUAGGGGACAAGUGAGUCCCAGACGCUUGCUGAGCAGGCAGCCUAGCUAAAAUGGUAGGCCCCGGCCGGGUUCAGUGAGAGAGAAAAGGGAAUACUGUGAACACCGGUAUUGCUUUUUGGCCUCUGCACAGGUGGGUGUUCAUCUGCACACACAUGAAUAACAUACACACACAUUAGCUGUCUAUAGGGCUUCCUAUAGAAAUCAGAAAGACACAGUAAAGGAUGAUUCAGCAGUCAGUUCUUCACAGGAGCGAUGCUUAUGUGCACCCUGUAUCCUUCCUGCUCCAUGCUCUAAACCAUCUCUGUAUUUGGUCCAGUGGGCUGACUCUGUGGGUAAAGGUGCUUGCUACCAAGCCUGGCAGCCUGGGUUCGAUCCCUAAUACCCACAUGGUAGGAAAAUAGAACCAGCUUCCACAAGUUGUCCUCUGAAUUCCACGUGAGAUCACCUCCCCCAAAUAAAUAAUUACAUACAUCCAUAAAAUAAGUAAAGUAGUUAUAUACAGUGCCUAAUUCAAUGGCUAUUGAUGUUAAUAAUAAUUUGUAUUAUUUGGGAAAUAACAAGAAACUAUCUGUGUACAUCAAGUUUCAUUUUCUAGACUAUUUCCCACCUGUAGUUGUUGGAUCUGCAGAUUCAGGACCCAUGUGUGGGCAGGGCUCAAUGUAUUUCCCCUUUUAUCUUUCCUCCAGGAUUUCCCAGCUCCCCACCAAAGAACCUCCUUUUAGACAGAUGCUUUGCCCCACAACCUCCCCUCUACUCCGAACCAAGGAGCCCUCCAUUCUUCCAUGCCCCAGCUGUAUCCUGUGCUCUUGAACGUCACUUAAACUUUCCUGGUUCCCUUUGCCCAGUACCUUGUCUGUGAAACUUGUUCUGAUGAGAGAAGGGUCCUGACUCUGCCCUGUCCAUGCUCCUUGGUUAGCAGAGCGAGGACCAUAACCCACCCUCCAUCCUCCAGAGCACACUCAUAGAUGCCCCUUUGCAGGCCAUCUACAAGAUGGUGUCCUCCAUGAUGAAGAUGCCUGAGGACGAGACCAUGCCCAAGAAGCAAACAGACAAGAUCUU
rnacentral:lncRNA from 1 species